rfam:Sporothrix insectorum RCEF 264 scaffold_11, whole genome shotgun sequence.
UCUUCGUUAGUAUAGUGGUUAGUAUACAGGCUUGUCACGCCUGGGACCCGGGUUCAAUUCCCGGACGAAGAG